GUAGGUGGCAAGCGUUGUCCGGAAUUAUUGGGCGUAAAGCGCGCGCAGGUGGUUCUUUAAGUCUGAUGUGAAAGCCCCCCGGCUCAACCGGGGAGGGUCAUUGGAAACUGGGGAACUUGAGUGCAGGAGAGGAAAGUGGAAUUCCACGUGUAGCGGUGAAAUGCGUAGAUAUGUGGAGGAACACCAGUGGCGAAGGCGACUUUCUGGCCUGUAACUGACACUGAGGCGCGAAAGCGUGGGGAGCAAACAGGAUUAGAUACCCUGGUAGUCCACGCCGUAAACGAUGAGUGCUAAGUGUUGGGGGGGUUUCCCGCCCCCCCGUCAGUGCUGCAGCUAACGCAUUAAGCACUCCGCCUGGGGAGUACGGUCGCAAGACUG
rnacentral:rRNA from 1 species